GGCUGUGGUCUCUCAACAGAGCUGAGGUCACCCGAUCACUGGGAAUCAUAGUUCCCAGGAGACCGCAGACCCUUCUUUCUCCCAUGGUGUCCCUGGGCCUUAUGCCACUGGUUGAACUCAGCUGUAUCCCCAGAUAGGGCGACUGACUGUUCCCCCUCCCCCUUCCCCUUGCACCUUUGCUCAUGCCCUUGCACUGGUUUGAUUUGUCUAGAAUGGCUUGGUUACUUAGAAAGGGAUGCUGAAGAAUGAUCUUUGAAUUAUUAAUGAUUUCAGCAUUUUGUAAUUAAAAUGCUCAUUUUCUCCAUGAAUUUUAAGUGCACAUAUAUCACAAAUACAGACAGAAUCUAUUUUAAUGAAUAACAUUAAAACAUUCAGUUCCAAGUAAUGAGGUUAUUUCCACAUCUUGGCUGAUAGUCCAUAUUUGAUUCAUUCAUUUAUUUAUCCAUUCACUUACUAAAUAUUUUUGCCCCCUCCCACUCUGGGGAAAGUAUUAAUACAGCUUUGCAAAUGUGGCUUCCAUAAAUUGUGAUGGAACAAAUUCUCUAUGCCUGAGUAGCACCCAAUCCAUCUUAUGGAAGAUACUCUUUUGGCUGUGUAUUUCACGAUAAUACCUCCAUCAGAGCACACCUGCCUGCUGUGAAAUGGUGCUGACUAUUUAGGAAAACAUUCUGGUGUGAAAGGGGAAGUUUCCCAGGGCAUGGCCAGGAGGAUCAAAGGGAAGCAUGAAUUACUUUGUAUAAUCAAGUCAUUUGAUUUUGAGGUUUCCCAGGACCUGAAAGGAUGGCGGAGAGGAGACAGGAAAUGGGAGGAGGUCUCAGAGCAGAUUGUAUUUCCCAAAGAUGGGCCCCCAUCACAUCUCCCGUUGCCCAGGCUCUUCUAUCAAGAGGUACCAGAGCAGCAGGACUCAUUAGACGCGCUUUUAGUAGCAGCAUUUCCAGGGAGGAACAAACAGGUUAAUUAAAAGCAAAUCUUAUAAAAGAUUCUUGUAUCUGAGAAACUGACCCAUCAUGGACAAAAUUUCAAGACCAAGGAGAAAGAAUGCCAUCUGGAAUUAAAGGAAGCAUGGCCCAGGCUCCAGCCGUGAGUGAGUGCAGCAGGAAUGUCAGCUGAAGCUGCUUCUGCUGACAGCCAUAAUCAUGCCUGAUCCACCAGUCAGUUCUCAGAAUUUGAAAGGAAAAUGACACUAUUUUGGGAUUAUGAGAAGGCCAAUGGAAAUCUGAUGGUACCACAGGUAGUAGCUCUUCUUUACUGAUCCAUCCCAGGGCAUUCUGCUAGAAGCAGUUGCUGGGAUAUAGUUCAUUUCACAUAUCUGAUUCUAAUGGAAUGCAAACAAACUUGUUAUAAUUACUUUCCCCUUUUAAGUGGUUAAUACAAUAUCUGUGUAUGGUUAAAAAAUCAUUUAAAAAUACAGCAUUUUAAUAAUGGGAGAAUGGGCAAAAUGAGUGAAGGAGAGUGAGAGAUCCAGGCUUCUAGUUAUGGAAUGAAUGAGUCACAGUACAAUUGAGGAAGUAUAGUCAGUGCUAUUGUCAUAGUGUUGUAUGGUCACAGGUGGUAGCUACACUUGCAGGAAAUAGAGCGUAACACAAGAAAAUAAAAAAAUUAAAAUAUAUUAUUUAAUUUCUAAG
rnacentral:lncRNA from 12 species